rnacentral:rRNA from 1 species
AGUGAACGCUGGCGGUAGGCCUAAUACAUGCAAGUCGAACGGCAGCACAGUAAGCGCUUGCUCUUACGGGUGGCGAGUGACGGACGGGUGAGGCAUACAUCAGAAUCUACUUUUUCGUGGGGGAUAACGUAGGAAAACUUACGCUAAUACCGCAUACGACCUACGGGUGAAAUCAGGGGAUCUUCGGACCUUGCCCGAUUGAAUGAGCCGAUGUCGGAUUAGCUAGUUGGCUGGGUAAAGGCACACCAAGGCGACGAUCCGUAGCUGGUCUGAGAGGAUGAUCAGCCACACUGGAACUGAGACACGGUCCAGACUCCUACGGGAGGCAGCAGUGGGGAAUAUUGGACAAUGGGCGAAAGCCUGACCCAGCCAUACCGCGUGAGUGAAGAAGGCCUUCGGGUCGUAAAGCUCUUUUGUUGGGAAAGAAAAGCAGCAGGUGAAUACCCCGCUGUUCUGACGGUACCCAAAGAAUAAGCAACGGCUAACUUCGUG